CGACGGGAAAAAAAAAAAAAAAAUCAGUCUUUUUUUUUUUUUUUCCCCUCCCUAAAAUGAUCAAAAGGCUCUCUCUCCGGCCAGCGCCCGGGCAGUUUCGGCCACCUUGGCCCUGGCAGAUCCACAAUGAGAGAGCAGGGGUGGGGGAAGGAGGAGAAAGAACUCGCGGGGGCUCGGGCGCCCGAGCAGAAGGAGCAGGAGAACGGGCAGGCGACAGCGCACGGCGGUGGAGAGCCCCUCGAUCAAUUUUCAUGCAAGAAUCAUUAUCGGUAAAUUGGAAAGCUGGCUGCCUGACAGCAAAUUUGUCUCCCCUAAUGAAAGCGAAAGGGUAGGGGCGCAGCGGCUGGCGGCUGCAGGCGGCGGCGGCUCCUUCCGUCUCUACGCGGCAUCUUCCAAGAGCUCCAUGCUUCGCAGGGCGAUAAUAAUAGUUUCACUUGCGAGCUUCCCCCCGCGCGGCUGCCGCGCCGGGCAGCAUAUCCACGCGGACCGGGAUCGGGGCGCAGAGAGCCGGGUUCCCCUCUGCCAACGCGGGGAGAGUGAUGCUGCUGGCGGCGGGGUGCUCCCCUCUGCCCCGAAGCGGGGGCCGUUUGCAAACUGUGGGCGGCUGCGGGCGCCGCCGGUCCCCCCUCCGGCUGCCCAACUCCGCGCUCUGGCCGCCCGCCCGCCCGCCCCUCCUCCCUCCCUCCCCACCCACGUCUGACAGCUGCGGGAGCUGGGAGUUCACCCGCCGCCGGGGCCUGGGAGAAGGGUCCCCAAGUCGUGCUCCGGGAGCUCUGGCCCGCCUUUUGUGAAACCCACACGGGGCUGCAGAAACACACCGGCCCGGCCCAGGGUGAGCUCCUAAGGACAGCGGCUGCCUUCUCUCCUUCUUUUCCUCUCACCCCCCCACCCCUCAAAAAUCCCUGUUGCAAGUGUAAUCAAAUGCUUGAUACCAUCUCCCACACUCUCCCUGAACUGCUUGCAUUAUCAGAUCCGGGAAGGCAUGCUUCCAGGCAAAUAGACCUAAUAAAUGCUAUUACUGGGCUUCUGCAACCCCGGCUGCACCAUAGUAACGAGAGCCCUGGCUAAUUUGGUUGAAGAAAACGACCAACUGCACAGAGUGUGUGUGAGCGAGUGUGGAGCCUGUAUCCCUCCUCCCCACCCGCCUCCCUUUCACACCAGCUCACGAAGGCCCCAUGUGAUAAUUCCCCAAAUCGAAGGGGGAAAAACCCUGCCGCCAAACCACAUCCUGUGCGCUCGUUGUCCAGCCCAGCGAUUUUAAAGAGACAGGACCCAUUUCCCCACGCCCGCACACACACUUAAACGCACGCUGCAAAGCUGCCUCUUGAUGUGACAAUUUAUUUUCAAGCCCUUUUACCUUAUGAAGGGCCGGUCCCUCAGUGGCACAACCAACCGGAAUCGCGACUUCGUAACACUAAGGGGUCACCUUUUGACCCCAGAUACAAUCACCUUUGUCUGUGGAACAGACCUGAGCCUGCAGGUACGCACCGCAGGUCACCGCGGCCACGACAGGCUUGGGUUCCCGCCAACGCUUUCCAGCCGCUGCGUAAAUCAGGGGUCCCCAGAGGCAGCCCCGGGGGUCCCUACUAAACGCGGCGGCUUCGGGUGACAAUUGCACUCCUGGAAUAUGAUACUCUAGAGGGCGAACUGGAGGAGGUGGGCGGACUCCGCGUGCCUUCCGACCCCUCUCUGCCACUCACCCCCCCCCACGCCCACCCUGCAAGAAUAUCUUAAAUGGGCUGGGCGGAGCGCUCGGAGCCAAGGGAGGGGUGGCGCUCCUCCCCGCCGCCACCAACGUCUGGGUGGGUGCAGCGCGCAGGCGGCUGCCUUCUCCGCCCGCUGGGCCGCCGGGGGUGCGAGGAGCAUCUUUGAAUCCCCCAGCCCCCGCGGCGCCCCGCCUGGCGCCCCCUCCCCGCGGGCGGCCGAGCGCGCGCGGGCACCCGGGAGGGCGCUGGGGCUGCUGACCCGGAGGAAACGGGCCGCUCGGGGCCGCCGGCGCCCGCCGCCAGCAUCUGGCCGCUCCGCCCCGCGCUGACCCCGGAGGUCACGCCCGGCCCUCGGCGGCGGCGGCCCUUUGUUUCCGGGGCUGCGUGGCGGCGCGCUCAGCACUCCUCGCGCCUCCUCCUGCGCCCGCCGCCGCCUGCGGCCCUGCGAGGGAGACAACGGCCUGGCACGGCGGGGUCGGGGUCCAGCACCUGCCCGCCCGACCCCGGACCAGCGUCCGUUUCCCAGCCCGCCUUCGCCUCCCACCCACAUAUUUGAUCAUCUGUGCCCUUCUGGGAGUCGGUGGGGGGGGGGCACCAAGGCGCACAACGGACAGCCCAGGCGAGCAGCUGCCCACCCCCCCUGACUCCUCAUAAGCUCGGAAAAUCUCUGAUUCUACUUGGGGGAAAAGAGAACUAUUUUUCAAAGAUCCUAACCUAUCAGUUUCUGUUGUCAUUCUUUUAUUGGUUUUUAAUUCUCCGGGAUUACACGAACAACAGUAGUAAUUAAUACUAAACCUUCCUCUACUGUAUAUGCUAAUGGCAGAAGCCAUAAAAAUUAAUUUGCAAACAUGUCAUUACACAAUAGCUGUACAGGCAAUAAACCUGUAAUUAUGGGCCAAUCACAGGCAGGGUACAGAGGGAGGGAUGCUCCCCCAAUCUGCUGGGUGCCCCCCUUCCCCUGCUAUAGUAGAGAAGAUGGUACCAGAAAGAAGCUUGCCUGCUGGGAGCCACCUGUGGAGAAUGCGCCCAGACUGGGGAUGGCAGAAGGGGUCUUUAGUCUUGAGUUCUAAUGGCUUGGCUUCUAUACAAGGCCCCCUGGAGACAGCCACUCCAGGGGAGACUGAAACUGUGGGAGGAGAGGCACGGUGAAGCCUUGGAGAGCUCCCGGGCCUGGCUGGCUGGCUGGUGGUGGGUGAGCAGAAGAGGGGGAGGGGGCAGAGAGAACAGGACUUCCCGGGUGGCGCAGUGGCUAAGAAUCCGCCUGUCAUUGCAGCGCACACGAGUUCAAGCCCUGGUCCGGGAAGAUCCCCACGUGCCACGAAGCAACUAAGCCCGUGCGCCACAACUACUGAGCCCACGCACCACAACUACUGAAGCCCCCGCACCUGGAGCCCGUGCUCCACAACAAGAGAAGCCACGGCGAUGAGAAGCCCUGCGCUCACGGCAACUAGAGAGAGCCCACGCGCAACAACGAAGACCCAAUGCAGCCAAAAAUAGAUAAGAUAAAUUAAUUUUUUAAAAAAAGGGAGAGAGGGAAUAGGAGACCCCACACUGGCAGGCCAGCACCCGUUUAUCUUUGCUUCCCGGUCAAAAGGCAAACAUCUCCCCCCCCAAUAAGUAGUUGAAGGCCUGCAUCAAAUUAUCUCAAAAUGCUCAGGCCAAGCCCUAAUUGCUUUUAGCCACUCCCUGGGGCAGGAGGUGAGCUGUGAGAUUCGAGCGAUACCCUAAGUCUCCUUUGGCCCUGCGUCUGGGUGGCUCAGAGUAGGUUAUUGACAUUUCCUGGUGACAGGGACGUUUAUAACGGAGGAAAAUAUGAAACCUACCAUGGGAGGGUGGCUGCACCACAGCUCCCGACCUGAUGCCAAAACAGCUGAAAAGUAUAAAGCACCCCCGCCAUGCCAAGCAGCCUGCUUAACGGGCUGCCUCGCCACUGAAUGGCUCGGUUGUUUGCCAUAACGUGGCUGAACGGGGGGGAGCUGGAAGGAUUUUUCCUUUCCCACCGGCCCUUGUGGCUUGGCUGUCAUUUUUGGAACCCAUCACUAAGGCCAUUCAUUUCCAGGGGACUCGCCCCUCCUCGGACGGUGCCUAUGGCCUGGCUAGAGGCGGAGGGGCAGCCAGUCUGGGCCCACACGUGGACCAGCUGCCAGGUGCCCAAGGUGAGAAGGACAGCACUCUUCUGGGGAUUUCAGUUCCGCGGGAUCAUCUGCAAGGACGGGUUGCCUCUCUCCAUCCCCGUUUCUCUUCCAGAGCCUGGUCACGGCAAUACCCUCCUGCUCUCCCGGCUCACACCUCUGGGGAGGAGUCGGGCAUUUAUAGAAGAAAGGCAGCAAUCGAUGCCACUGAAGGGCAAACUCAUGCCCACCUCCCUGAGAGACCCCUGCCCACGCUGCCAGCCAACCCAGGGGGAGAGGGAAGCGCUGGGCCUGUCCUGGGCCCAGUGGAAAGAAAAGGAAAGCGCAGCGCUUCAUGUCUCAAUGGGAAACAAGCUGGGGGCGGGCUGCUUCUUGGAAGCCGCGUGGAGCUCACCAGACACCCCCCAGCCAAGAUGCGGGGGGGGAGGCCCUCCUUCCCCCUCUCCCCGGCUGCACCUUCAAAAUGGAGGGGCCCCAGACUCCCUCUAGCGGGCCUGCCAUUGCCACAGCACAGAGACAGCCUAGCCGGCCAAGAGCGUCAGCUGAAUGCAGUAAAAAUAGCCUCCCAGCACGUGCUGCAAACGCUGAGGCCGCAGACUGGGUCUGGAUGUGCAGCGGUGUAGUGCCCGGCUCUGAGCGGGAGAGCCCAGUGCCUCUGUGUGCCCACUGGCACUCUGGUGGCGGCCCAGGCCAGGCUGCGACCUCACCUUUCUGGAGGGGGCACUGCUCCCCAAGGAUUCCAGGGAAAGAAGGCGAGGGGAGGCUGGGAGGCCACGUGACUAAGCUGAAAUGCCCCUUUAGGUCUGCCCCCUCCAUUUCCCUCCCUGGGAUAAUCAUGCCAGCUGAUUGCUGUUCUGAGCGCUCUUCACAGAGAGCUCAUUAGAUCCUCAUGACAACUGUGUUCAAGGUCACCCUUAGGAGUUCCAUUUUCUAGAUGAGGCCCAGAGAGGCCAAGCAUCUUGCCCAAGGACACACAGCCAGGAAAGGGCAGAGCCGGGAUUUGAAGCUGAGCUGGUUCCAGAGUCCAUGUUCAUAACCAUCAGCUUGGAGUCGGACAUACCAGAGUUCAAAUUCUGGCUGGGCCCCCCACCCACCGUGUGCCCCCAGGCAGUGACAUCACCAUUUGAAAAUGCCUCAGUUGCCUCACCUGGAAAAUGGGAUGAAAUCAGCCCUGCGUUCCAGGAAGAUGCGGGUGUGUAACCACUCUGGUGCCUGGCACAGAAUAAGGACUCCAUAAAUAGAGCUGUAAAUGACUGUGUUUGGGAUAAUAGUGAUAAUAGCAAUAAUAGCAGUUACCACGGGCAGGGCCUCAGGACAGCCACGCUACUAGCUUUGCUAAGGGCUUUAUCUUAUCUGGAACCUGCCCCCACCCCAAGGGGCAGACCUACAAUGACCAUCACCCCGAUCUGCACACGAGGACGCAGAGGCCCCAGGAGGUGAAGCCACUCACCCAAGGGCACCCAGGGAGUAGACACACCCGCUUUCUCCCUCCGUCCAGCUCUGGUCCUUAGGUGACUGGACAUGAGUGAAAGUUCUGUCUCAAGAUAAGCAAGUCUGAGCUUGAAAGAGAAAGGGAGAACUUCUGCCCCGUCAAGGUGAUGUCUGCAAACCCAGGUUUUGUUUCCAUCUUGGCCUGGUGUGUUUACUUCUGCUUUCCUCUGCCAGUGGCUCCAGGCUCCCCACCCAGGGAGUGCUCCCAGGCUUCCCACGGCCUUGUCCACCUGUCCUGGUAUGAUGGGCUAAUGGUGGCCCGCCAAAGUAUAUGUCCACCUGGAACCAUGAAUUGGACCUUAACUGGAAAAGGAGUCUAGGGACUUCCCUGGUGGCACAGUGGUUGAGACUCCACACUCCCAAUGCAGGGGGCCCGGGUUCGAUCCCUGGUCAGGGAACUAGAUCCCACGUGCAUGCCGCAACUAAGGAGCCCACGUGCCACAACUAAGGAGCUCGCGAGCUGCAACUAGGACCCGGUGCAACCAAAUAAAUAAAUAUUUUUUAAAAAAAGAAAGAAAGAAAAGGAGUCUGUGCAGGUGUAAUUAAGUUAAGGACCUCGAGUUGACAUCAUCCUGAGUCAUCAGGGUGCGCCCUAAAACCAAUGGCAAGUAACCUUAUAAAAAGAGAAGCAGACAGAAGAGAAGACACAAGGGAAAAUGCCGUGUAAAGACGGAGGCAGAGGUUGGAGGGAAGCAGCCAUAAGCCAAGGACACUUGGAGCCCCCAGGAGCUGGAAGAGACGGGAAGGACCCUCCCCUACGGCCGCUAUAGGGAGGAUGGUGGCCCUGCUGACACCUUGACUUCAGAUUUCUGGCCUCCAGAACUGCGAGAGAAUAAAUUUCUGAUGUUUCAAGCCA